rnacentral:rRNA from 1 species
GGACUACCGGGGUAUCUAAUCCUGUUUGCUCCCCGAGCUGUCGCGCCUGAGCGUCAGCCGUCGGCCAGGGCACUGCCUUCGCCAUUGGUGUUCUUCCGGAUCUCUACGCAUUUCACCGCUCCACCCGGAGUUCCAUGCCCCUCUCCGACGCUCAAGCCAUCCCGUUUGCCUGGACCUCUCCCGGUUAAGCCGGGAGCUUUCACCAGACACGCGAAUGGCCGCCUGCGCGCCCUUUACGCCCAAUAAGUCCGGACAACGCUUGUCUCCUACGUAUUACCGCGGCGGCUGGCAC